GACAGAGGGUGCAAACGUUGUUCGGAAUUACUGGGCGUAAAGCGCGUGUAGGCGGACUUGCAAGUCAGAUGUGAAAUCCCCGAGCUCAACUCGGGAACUGCAUUUGAAACUGCCUGUCUUGAGUAGUGGAGAGGAAAGCAGAAUUCCUGGUGUAGAGGUGAAAUUCGUAGAUAUCAGGAGGAACACCGGUGGCGAAGGCGGCUUUCUGGACACUUACUGACGCUGAGACGCGAAAGCGUGGGGAGCAAACAGG
rnacentral:rRNA from 1 species